rnacentral:rRNA from 1 species
AUAAUGGGUCAGCGACUUAUAUUCUGUAGCAAGGUUAACCGAAUAGGGGAGCCGAAGGGAAACCGAGUCUUAACUGGGCGUUAAGUUGCAGGGUAUAGACCCGAAACCCGGUGAUCUAGCCAUGGGCAGGUUGAAGGUUGGGUAACACUAACUGGAGGACCGAACCGACUAAUGUUGAAAAAUUAGCGGAUGACUUGUGGCUGGGGGUGAAAGGCCAAUCAAACCGGGAGAUAGCUGGUUCUCCCCGAAAGCUAUUUAGGUAGCGCCUCGUGAAUUCAUCUCCGGGGGUAGAGCACUGUUUCGGCAAGGGGGUCAUCCCGACUUACCAACCCGAUGCAAACUGCGAAUACCGGAGAAUGUUAUCACGGGAGACACACGGCGGGUGCUAACGUCCGUCGUGAAGAGGGAAACAACCCAGACCGCCAGCUAAGGUCCCAAAGUCAUGGUUAAGUGGGAAACGAUGUGGGAAGGCCCAGACAGCCAGGAUGUUGGCUUAGAAGCAGCCAUCAUUUAAAGAAAGCGUAAUAGCUCACUGGUCGAGUCGGCCUGCGCGGAAGAUGUAACGGGGCUAAACCAUGCACCGAAGCUGCGGCAGCGACGCUGAUGCGUUGUUGGGUAGGGGAGCGUUCUGUAAGCCUGUGAAGGUGUGCUGUGAGGCAUGCUGGAGGUAUCAGAAGUGCGAAUGCUGACAUAAGUAACGAUAAAGCGGGUGAAAAGCCCGCUCGCCGGAAGACCAAGGGUUCCUGUCCAACGUUAAUCGGGGCAGGGUGAGUCGACCCCUAAGGCGAGGCCGAAAGGCGUAGUCGAUGGGAAACAGGUUAAUAUUCCUGUACUUGGUGUUACUGCGAAGGGGGGACGGAGAAGGCUAUGUUGGCCGGGCGACGGUUGUCCCGGUUUAAGCGUGUAGGCUGGUUUUCCAGGCAAAUCCGGAAAAUCAAGGCUGAGGCGUGAUGACGAGGCACUACGGUGCUGAAGCAACAAAUGCCCUGCUUCCAGGAAAAGCCUCUAAGCAUCAGGUAACAUCAAAUCGUACCCCAAACCGACACAGGUGGUCAGGUAGAGAAUACCAAGGCGCUUGAGAGAACUCGGGUGAAGGAACUAGGCAAAAUGGUGCCGUAACUUCGGGAGAAGGCACGCUGAUAUGUAGGUGAAGUCCCUCGCGGAUGGAGCUGAAAUCAGUCGAAGAUACCAGCUGGCUGCAACUGUUUAUUAAAAACACAGCACUGUGCAAACACGAAAGUGGACGUAUACGGUGUGACGCCUGCCCGGUGCCGGAAGGUUAAUUGAUGGGGUCAGCGCAAGCGAAGCUCUUGAUCGAAGCCCCGGUAAACGGCGGCCGUAACUAUAACGGUCCUAAGGUAGCGAAAUUCCUUGUCGGGUAAGUUCCGACCUGCACGAAUGGCGUAAUGAUGGCCAGGCUGUCUCCACCCGAGACUCAGUGAAAUUGAACUCGCUGUGAAGAUGCAGUGUACCCGCGGCAAGACGGAAAGACCCCGUGAACCUUUACUAUAGCUUGACACUGAACAUUGAGCCUUGAUGUGUAGGAUAGGUGGGAGGCUUUGAAGUGUGGACGCCAGUCUGCAUGGAGCCGGCCUUGAAAUACCACCCUUUAAUGUUUGAUGUUCUAACGUUGACCCGUGAUCCGGGUUGCGGACAGUGUCUGGUGGGUAGUUUGACUGGGGCGGUCUCCUCCUAAAGAGUAACGGAGGAGCACGAAGGUUGGCUAAUCCUGGUCGGACAUCAGGAGGUUAGUGCAAUGGCAUAAGCCAGCUUGACUGCGAGCGUGACGGCGCGAGCAGGUGCGAAAGCAGGUCAUAGUGAUCCGGUGGUUCUGAAUGGAAGGGCCAUCGCUCAACGGAUAAAAGGUACUCCGGGGAUAACAGGCUGAUACCGCCCAAGAGUUCAUAUCGACGGCGGUGUUUGGCA